UACAGAGGUCUCAAACGUUGUUCGGAAUCACUGGGCGUAAAGGGCGCGUAGGCGGCUGUUCAAGUCGGGGGUGAAAUCCUGUGGCUCAACCACAGAAUGGCCUUCGAUACUGGACGGCUAGAGACCGGAAGAGGUGAGUGGAACUGCGAGUGUAGAGGUGAAAUUCGUAGAUAUUCGCAAGAACACCAGUGGCGAAGGCGGCUCACUGGUCCGGUUCUGACGCUGAGGCGCGAAAGCGUGGGGAGCAAACAGG
rnacentral:rRNA from 1 species